rnacentral:rRNA from 1 species
ACUCAAAUGAAUUGACGGGGGAGCGCACAACCGGUGGAGCAUGUGGUUUAAUUCGAUACGAAGCGAAAAACCUUACCCGGAUUUGACAUGUACCUGCACGGUUAUGGAAACAUAGCCUUCUUCGAGAGUGGUACACAGGUGAUGCAUGGCUGUCGUCAGCUCGUGUCGUGAGACGUCCACUUAAGUGUGGUAACGAGCGCAACCCUUGUCGUAUGUUAUACGUGUCAUACGAGACUGCCCCGAUUUUUAUCGGGGAGGAAGGAGAGGAUGAUGUCAAGUCAGCAUGUCCCUUACAUCCGGGGCGACACACAUCCUACAAUGGAGCCGACAACAGGUAGCAACGAGGUAACUCCGAGCCAAUCCUUAAACGGCCCCUCAGUUCGGAUUGAGGGCUGCAACUCGCCCUCAUGAAGCCGGAAUCGGUAGUAAUCGCAAAUCAUCAGGUUGCGGUGAAUUCGUUCUCGCUCCUUGUACACACCGCCCGU